CUGUCGUGUCCGCCUCUGCACUGGGAUUCCUCCAGCCCCAGCAAGUCCCUCAGGUGGUCCCAGCCUCUGUGUCCGCCUCUGCUCUCCCAGAGCGCCUCAGGCAGAGCAGCCAGGAUGGGGACCAGGCCCGCCUUACCGGGAAUGAGCCUGUCACCUGCUCCUCCCACCCCGCAGCAGCCUCUGUCGGGCUGACAGUGACUUCAGGAAUGCUCUCCUCCUGCCGCACUCUGGACCUGUUGGCCAUGCUGUUCAACUUAGCAAAUGUUCUUCCUCACCGCCAACCACAGUGGCCAGGUGCAAGUCCCUCUUGGACAACCUCAGCCCUGGAUACACCGCCUUAUUUACCACUUCAAAGGCCCAUCUGCCGACAAGACCACUGCCACCCUCUGCCACCCUCCACCACCCUCCGCCAGGUCACCAGAAUGCCAGGCCUCACUCAUGAUCAGCUGAGCACCAGCAGGCAGGUGAGAAGAGCCUCCAGUGUGGAGCAGGUCAACCAGCAACAGAGCCAGGGAGACCCAUGGAGUCCAGAGAAAACGAUGUGCAUAUAUCACUUCAAAAAAACAAAAGUGGAUGUGGCUGAUGCCAAAGUGACCUGCCCCAGAAGAGCUGCUAACAGAACAGCAUCCCAGGAGGCUGCAGAAGGCUGAAGAGCAGAGCCCACACCUGCUAUGGGCCACAAGAGGCCCUGGAUGCCAUGGAGGCCGCAAGGGCCCAGGCGGGACUUGCAGAAUGAGAGUCCUAGGCCCAAGUAUAGAGUCCCUGGUGGGCACAGAGGAGAGACCAGGUCAGUGGGAGGGGUUGUCAGACCCUGUGGAGUGCCCCACCUGUGUGCCAGGCCCAGAACUGGGCUCAACUCUGAUGGUAGCAGGUGGAAAGUAGACUUCACUACUGUGGGAGUGGGGGCAUUCCUGGACACAGGGGGAAACCAGCUCACAGAACAGCCUGGGGUCUUCUUGGAGGAGGCCAUUUUGGCCCAGAUCCUAAAGGAAGACUGGAAGCCUCAGGGGGCAGUGAGAACAGGGACAAGAGAGGGCAGGUCUCAGGACUGACUGAGCAACUCAGACUGACCUGGAUCAAACUGUGGAGCCGGCGAAGGGUUUAGAGGGUUGCUGCAGGACAGUGGUGUCUGCAAAGACGCCUCUGGCUGCUGUCUGGAAAAUAGACAGGGGAGGCUGGGCAGGGGUCUGGGCAGGGGCUGGACAGGGGUGCUGGGCAGGGGCUGGACAGGGGUGCUGGGCAGGGGCUGGACAGGGGUGCUGGGCAGGGGCUGGACAGGGGUGCUGGGCAGGGUCAGUCCAUCUCCAUCCUGCUUUCCUUUUCUUUCUUUUCAACAAAUAUUGAUGGAGCACCUCCUCGGUGCCAGGCGCUGCUGCAGCCUCUAGGAAAUCAACCGUGGAAACACACGGACCCUGCCCUCCCGGCGCCAGUGUUCUGGUGGUCAGGAGGUGAAGAAAACCAGCAAGAACCAGCACAGGAAUCCGACGGUGGCAGCGCCGAGAGAAACAAGCUUGGAGGGGAAGGAGAGCUACAGAGGCUGCAUGGAUGUGAUGGUUGGAGUGGAAGCUGACAUUGUGGGCCAGGAGACCCUGGGAGUACAGGCCAAGAUGAAAAGAGCCUCAAUCCAGAGCGUUCUGUGAAGCAGUCACCACGGCCACCCUGGGCCAUCAGCUUCUGGACUUUUACAACAUAGAAAUUAAAUUUCCAUUGAAUUUGUUGGA
rnacentral:lncRNA from 1 species